AAAAGAGCAGAGAGCAGGUCACAGCAUUGCCCGCUCCCCGACUCCCAACCAUAUGUCCACCUCCCCAACCUCCUUCCCGCGGUAAGCACCCUGGUCUCCCACUGCCUCCUCCUGUUCCCGUGGCCUUGGACUUACCUCCAGUACUCCGUAAGUCUUCCCCUCUGCCCCAGAGUUUCCAUGCCUUUGUGGAUACCAGUGGGACCUUGUUCAGCACACAUGCCUGUGGAGUCCAUAGGCUCAGGAAACCAAUGCCCUUAGAGGCAACACUCAACCAACGGGACAGAAGAGCCCGUGGAUAAACGCACACCGUCAGGUGGACAGUUGUGAGACACAUCUUACAGUCUCGGUGAGGCCCAGCCCCAUUUCCCUGCAGUAGCGCCCUUUAUCUUGGAUUCUCCUCCUUCCUUUACUUUCCCCCAGGUCUCCCAGAUAUACUACCUACCAUGAGACCCCUCAGAGAGCUCUCAGGACCACUGGCCCUCUGCUAUUUCCUUGGUUCCUGUCUACAGAACAGGUAGCCUGUUUUCCUCCCUCCCUGAGAGAAACCCUGCUGGGUGCUGUCCCCAGAUGGCAGAUUAACAAUGUAGCUAGCCUGGCCAGAGUCCAGUCCCAUGCAUGAACUGGGCUGUGUACUUUCUAAACCUUAUUUCCAAGCCUCACAACUAUUCUCUGGGGCAAGGUGUUACUUUUCCCAUUUUAUAGAUCCACACAUCAAGGUUCAGAAUAUGAUACAAGUCACAACUAGAGACACGCGAUUGGCAGGGCUGGAAAUUGGCCCCAGGACCCCCUCGGGCCCCCUCAGUGUUACACAGGAUGGUAAUCUUGGCCCCAGAACAGUAGAGGACCCUCAGGACCAAUUUGGAGACACGUGGAGCCUUGAGAUUGGUCCCCUAUCACUCCUGGCAGAGGGACACUAGAACAUGCCAGAAGGUGGGAGGCAGCACGAGGUGUGGAACGGUGAGGCAGGACUGAACUAGAGCAGAGAGAGCAGGCUGAGGGGCUGAGAAGCAGGAUCUAAGUUCUGGUGUACCAGCUCUGCCUUUUGGAAAAAGUGGAUUCCUCCCUGAGGGCCACCUGGAGCCUGGGGAGGCCCUGAAACAAGGGACUGCUGCUGCUGCUGCUGCUGCUGCUGCUGCUAAGUCGCUUCAGUCGUGUCCGACUCUGUGCGACCCCAUAGACAGCAGCCCACCUGGCAGGGUGAGAUUUCUGUUUCAGAGACUGGGGGGCGUGGUCACAGAGGGACUGGGCGUGGUCACAGGGCAGAUGGGCGUGACCAGAGUCGCUGGGCCGACAGUCCCGGAAGAAGAUCAAAGCCUGGAGCUGGACGAGUGACACACAGGGCACAGGCCUCCUGCCAGGCUCCCUCCCCGCCUGCCCGCCCGCACAAGACAGCCCAGUCCUGAGCUUAUGGCACUCUGAGAACUUUCCAAGUUAGCAACCACAGCAUCUUCCAGAGGAGAGAGAGAAGAGGUCACUAGACGGUUGGGUGUAUAGAAGGUGCAGGGUUGAAGAAAAACCAUGCAAAUCAUUUGUAUAAAAUGUUUCAUUCGAUGUCUGUACUAAAAAAAAAAAUACAUACAACCUGAAAGUAAAGAGUUAUUUUAUUUGGUGGGAAUGUUUAGGACUCGGAGCCCAGGAGACAGCAUCUCAGUAGCUCUGAGAAAACUGCUUCAAGGAGGCAGGAGGGAAGUCAGGCUGUAUACAGGUUCUCAACAAAGGGAGCAGACAGUCUGAACAGCAAAG
ensembl:lncRNA